GUGCCAGCAGCCGCGGUAAUACGUAGGGGGCAAGCGUUGUCCGGAAUUAUUGGGCGUAAAGCGCGCGCAGGCGGUAGAUUAAGUCUGAUGUGAAAGACCAGGGCUCAACCCUGGGAGGUCAUUGGAAACUGGUUCACUUGGGUGCAGGAGAGGAGAGUGGAAUUCCACGUGUAGCGGUGAAAUGCGUAGAGAUGUGGAGGAACACCAGUGGCGAAGGCGGCUCUCUGGCCUGCAACUGACGCUGAGGCGCGAAAGCGUGGGGAGCAAACAGGAUUAGAUACCCUGGUAGUCC
rnacentral:rRNA from 1 species